CCUAUGCCAAACCAUCCUACAUCCAUGGAGGUACCUCUGACUGGUGCUCCACUUGAAUUUCAACUUCUCUUGGUGCCCCUGCAGAAGAUAAAAUUUGAUCCGAGAUCAGCCACCUAGCACUGCCCUGCUGGAUUGCUUGCUAAACCUCCAUCGUUGUUUGCUGCCGUUUCGGACCUUCCAUACUUCGUGGAUACCUACAAAACUUUUAGAGAACAUUCUCCUCUUCUAAACCAGCUAUGAUACUCUAUGGAUCAGCCAUCU
rnacentral:lncRNA from 1 species